GGGGAUGACAGGCUUCGACGGAGGAGGCUGGCCCCGGAUUGCAAGCCGAGAGGCUCCGACCUCGAUAAAUCAGAGCAACCAACAAGUGCCAACCGCACUAACUAUGCGGCUCUCCCGCUCGCGGCCUAACCCCCGCGGGAGGUGAGCCUGAUCCCCACUGCGGGAUCGCGUCUGCCCCCGAGGCCCUCCGGCGUCGCGGGGCGCGGGCGAGAAAAAGGCCGGAGUGCCGCGUGUCACGCCGAUAAACGCGCGAAAGAGGGAUCGUCGAUCCCAUCGGCUGGUCGGCGGACGACCCUGUCGGUCGGGGCGCCGCCGGUGACGCCAAAAUAGCCCGACUACGCUUGUAGAUAUCCGCGGUCGAAUCUUUCGGACCCGAGUUCAAUUCUCGGCAUCUCCACUC
rnacentral:tmRNA from 1 species